rnacentral:rRNA from 1 species
UACAUGGGGUGCAAACGUUGCUCGGAAUCACUGGGCGUAAAGCGCACGUAGGCGGCUUAUUAAGUCAGGGGUGAAAUCCUGGAGCUCAACUCCAGAACUGCCUUUGAUACUGAUGAGCUUGAGUUCGGGAGAGGUGAGUGGAACUGCGAGUGUAGAGGUGAAAUUCGUAGAUAUUCGCAAGAACACCAGUGGCGAAGGCGGCUCACUGGCCCGAUACUGACGCUGAGGUGCGAAAGCGUGGGGAGCAAACAGG